CUGAACAUCUACUUAGUGGUUAUAAAAUAUUUGCUGCUGAAAGCCACAGAGCAUUGAUAAACAGAUCCUGGACAGCUGAGUUAUUGCAAUCUACUUAACAUGAGGAGAACAAAUUAUUAUGCUUUACUUUAACACAUGCAGAAAAGGAUGGAUUCAUCUCAUUCAUGGGAAACAGAUGAGGAAUACAUUUUCUGUGAAUGCUAUUUCAAAAAGAUGUUAAUUUUCAUGGAUACUUUCUGGACCAGUCACUUCGCACAGUUCAAAAGAUGCUGUCUUCUCUCUGGGAUAUGCUAUCAAGAUUAGAGAAUUGAGACCCACUGACUUGAAGAAGGAGGCAUGGCUGUUGGGGAUAGAGUUAUGAUUACAAUUCAGGUCUUGUCUGUUAGCCUGCUGCUGCUUCCACUAUUCCUUCCAUCCUUGUGGCACUGGGAGAGGCAGAAUCAUAAUUCUCUACCAGCUGCUUAUUUUAGAGUCAUCUGGGUCUGGGGAUGGUUCUGGACAAAAAUACAAAUUUGGAGACCCAUCACUGGUUUGUAGGAUCAGUGAGAUCAUGAAAACUAGAAGUAAUUUCAACGCGACUUUUUUUAUUUACUUUGGAAAUGGUUCAGUUGGACACAUGAGUGAUAAGAGGUGGACAUUUCAAGUUCAAUUGUGUUUGAUGACUCAUUAGGUUAAAGAAGCUGUCAGGUGGUAAAGUCACCCCAGAGAAAUGAAGGGUAUUCUCCAGAAAGUGUGGAAACCCUGCCACUGCAGGCUAAUCAGGUGUGUUGACACAUCAGUGAGGAGCUGGCUCACAACACCUGGAGAAGCAAGCCAUGGAGGUGGAGCAGAAUCAAAUGAGCCUCCCACAAGGCACAAAGAUUCUCAGCAAGUCAGGACAUGUUACACAUGGAAAUUCCUACUCACCCAAGACAGAUGCCUAUUGCUGUGUCUCUCUCUUCCCAUACUUUCACAUUGUCUUGAAAUAUAAGCAAGAUGUGAGAGCCCACAGUGCUAUGGUAGGAGCCAUCUGCAGUGCCAUGGUCACCUGUGUCAGUGGUGGAACAAAGAGGGAAAGAUGGCUUCCACAUCCAGUGGUGACUUGAGUGGAAAAAGAAAAAAAAGAGCUCCUAUGCCUGCUGGCAGAUGCUACUGAUGGGACUAUGAGCAAUUAGAGGAGGUUUCACAUUUACUCACAACUUGGAAUUUCUAAGCAAAUUUUCACAACGCAAGGCAGCCGUACAUUCUGUGUACCUAACACUUUGUGCUUUCUCAUCUUGCUUGAUCAUUCAGGAAGCAGGUGGUCCAUUCUUUUGGCUCUAAAUAUUUUGCAUGUGAAGGGCAUAGGUAGGUGCACCACUUUGGAGAUUGUUAGCUGUGUCUGGUUCCGGGUGUCAGUUAGGCACAAAUUAGUAAGGCUGGAGGGGUUAAGAGUUGCAGAGAAGUCUGACGUGAUGGAUAAGUUAAGGAAGAGUCCUAAGAGGCCAGAAGUGAUAGAGCCCUAAAAACCAGAAUGGGCUGGUCAUGGCAUGGCAGAAGCUGACUUAUUUUUUAUCUCAUACAGAAUGGGUGUCUACUAGUUCAGUCUGUGCUUAUUUAUUAACAAAAUUAUUCACAGCAAUUCUCAGAGUCCUUCAUCAAAUUCAGUCUGCUCUUGAAUAUUCAGAAGAGAUUCUUUCUGAAUAAUGCACAAUAACUUUCUUUUUUUUUCCGAGAGGCUCCAAUGUGUCCACGCUUCUUUUUUCCCCCUUAUUUUAGUUUAAUAUAGGGUUUUCUCAGAUUUUUUUCCUAUAAUAGUUUACUAUUUUCCUAAAUCUUUCCAUUUUGUCAUCAAAUUCAACUAUUUCUCACCUCAUUCAUCUUACAGGUUGUUAAUAAAUAUACCAGAGAAUAAUGGUCCUGCUAUUGAUGGAUCCCAAGGGAGAAUUCCUAUUAAUCACUUCAAUCUUAGGGAGCACAAAGGAAAGGCCAUGCGAGGACACAGGGAGAAGACAGGCCCCUACCAGUCAGGAAGGGAGCCCUCACCAGAAACUGAGCUGGCCAGCACAAUGGUCUUGGACUUGUAGCUCCAGAACUGUGAGGAAAUAAAUUUCUGUUGUUGAAGCCACCCAGUCUGUGAUUUUUUUUAUGGCAGUACUAGCAGAUUGAUAUACCUUCCAUCUAGUUGCCUGAAAA
rnacentral:lncRNA from 1 species